rnacentral:lncRNA from 1 species
UUAAACAAUGAAAACCAAUUAAGAAAAUACAAUCACACAGAAAUCUACUUUAGUGAACAUUUGUAUUUAGAAUUUCUUUAUGGAAAAAGCCAUUGAAUAUAAGUAUGGCGUGCAAAAACAAAAACCAAAAAAACAAAAACAAAAAAAAACAACAACAGUCACUAUGAAAGUCAAGGCAGUUACUCCAUGAUUAAGAGAAGGAUAUCACACACAGUGUCCUUACAAGUGGCAAUUCACAUCCUUGGUGAGGUGAGAUGAGAUGACAUCAGUUGUUAUCCAUCACUCACAAAAGCACAUGAGCUAAAAUGUACGGAUUGUGUCUUUCUGAGGUUUCUUUUUCAUAUUCUUGGACUACACGACAGCUAACCCAAGCUCUAGAAAGUAAAAUUGACAGAAAGAGUACGUGGGAAACAUAUUGCUUACAUACCUAUGGUUGAUAUCCAUCAAUAGAGAAAUAUUUUCUAGGCAAUCACAAAACUGUGUGUCCAGUGAGAAAGCCACAGUAGACCAUGAAAAUACCUAAGGUAAAGGAGGUGGGGGCCUUCCUCAGUCUGGGGAUAAGGAGGUUUCCUGGAGGACCCUAUCCACAGCUGUGAUAAAAUCACUGAAUGACCAUCACUGAGAAAAGCCCCAUCAGAAAGCUCAUCAGUCUUUUUAAGAAAAACUGCAUUAGCAUUUGUUUUUCUAAUUUCUCAGAUGAUUCCUUCCAAAUGACUCUCUCUGGGACUCAUGGAUACACGGUUUGAGAAUGGUGUGUGGGUGACUGUAGUGCGCUUGGUUUCAAGCAUGGCUUUCUCUCUAGUUUUGAAGCACUAGCCCUGGAAGUAGCACACCAUGUAAGCACCUAAAAUGGCGGCAGCUGUGUGUGCGCACUUUCCAAUAAGUAAAAGCUAGAAGAGGUGUCCGUUUUACCAUCUUGUGCAGUGGCCUCUUGCGAGUAGCUCCUACAGACGUGUCUGGCUGAGCUCCUUAAAACCUCAAUGCUAGUUAGAAAUGGGGUGUUUAGGUAAAUUUUGAUCAAAAACCCUUGUGUGGUGCAUUUGGACUUUCAUGAAGAGAGCUUCAGGAUCAGUGAAGGCCAAGAGCAAAUGUCCUUGAAAAAUAAGAACUUGAAAAGGUAAAUAAGUUCUUUCCCAGGAAUUCUAAGUUUGACUUACGUGACAUCAAAUGUUUUCUAUUGUUUGCACAGCAUUUAUUUAUUCUGUGAAUAUUUACUGAUGAUGCAAAAGCCCCAUAGGCAGCUGUAGAAAGCAUGGAAAUGAGACAAACCUGAAGACUUUUGCUUCAGUUUUGAAAAGUCUGCUUCAGAGAAGGUGCUAGAAGUUUCCUCUCCCUUUGUGUUAUCUACACCAAGGAGCUGGGGUUUAGCUGGGCUCCACUGAGCACGCCCGGAGGAGAUUUAGUAAUGAAAGACUGGGAGAAGUGAAGUAGAACAAUGAAGGAAUUACUUCCAAUGGUCGACAUCACGGGACACGUGAAUUUUUCCCCUGUCUAAUUCCCAGUGUAUUUAAUCUUAAAGAACAUGAGAUUUGAAGGCAAAAAGAUUUGACUAACCCUCAGCUUUUAAAUUUUCUAUCCUGGUGUUGAGUUCAGCUAGCCUCUCCAUUUAGGAGUGGUUUCAUUUUUAAGUCUUAUACAUAUGAAUAACAUUUAACUCCUGGAGAAAUCUUAUUAUUAUAUGUAACUGCAUGAAAUAUGCUGGCUGUUACUAACAUCUAAUUGUUUUACAAACCCUAUGAGGUCAUGACCGUAACUGCGUGUGCACUUAAGGAUAAUUUUAGAAGAGCUCUCAGUUCUUAUAAAAACCCCCUUUUGCUUUUUCACGUUUUGCUUAGCAGACUUCUCUUCUGACUCCCCUUUCUCCUUCUCCCAUCUCUACAUACAGGAUUUUGGUUUUCAGUUCCACUGUUGCUAAGCAUUGUUUCUCUGGUAAUUCUUCUGAUCUUGAUCUCCAUCUUACUAUACUGGAAACGUCACCGAAAUCAGGAGCGGGGUGAAUCAUCACAGGGGAUGCAAAGAAUGAAAUAAGGUAAAAAUUCCUUUCUUUAUAAUACCUUGGGGUUUGUUUGAAUAUAUAAAUAAGGGGGGGACAGCAUUGUUACAUCUAUUGUUUAUAAAUAUUGAUGCUGUUUAAGAAAAGCAACAAGCUUGCUUUCUUGCAAAUGGACGUUUCAGCUGUUUGUUUCCUAGGAUAUUUUAAAGGCUAUUUCGUAAGUCAAGAGUAAAAACUCUAGAAAGAAAACAGGAAUAUAUUGACUGGAUAAUAGUGGAUUGUUGUGAAACCAAAUAGAAAAAUCUGACAACUCACACAAGGACCUCUCCACCUGCUAAUGAGGCCAAUCUUGUCUCCUUUUACAUCAAGCCACAGCCAUUUGACCAAUUAAGAGACUGUGACAUUGUCCAAUUCUGCCUCAUUAAAUAGCACUUCCUAGGCUACACUUUCAUGAUUCCUUAAACACUCUCCUCAUCCAAGUGAUUCACACAUGUAGUUGUUAUUUCAUAGCAUUCUUCAUGCCUUUCCAGGCUGAGAAUUUCGCCUCAUCCCCCACCACCAACAUUUGCCACAGGAUCAUAUACAUAUUUCUAUAUACGAUAUAUAUUACAAUAGUGAUAUAUUGCUCUAUAAGUGUUCAUUUACUACGUGAGGGAAUGGAUGGAACUACCAUGUAUAAGAUAUUUUCCAAAUUCUCUUCCUCUUGUUGUAACUCAGUACCUUAUGAACAUCAGCCAAGUCUUAGACAAUGUAAAGCAUCAAAGAAUAAGAUUGCCACUGAAACAGAAGUGAGCUGUAUUUCAGGGAAAAAAAUGCAUUUCUUUGCUUUCUGAAGCCUGUGCUCAACCUAUUAAGCACAAAGCUGGGCUUUCUUUUUUCUUUGAAAUGGGAAUUUCCUAGGGUGAAGGGGUAAUGUGGGAGUUUCUUCCAUCCCAGAUGAUGAACUUCGGGAUCAGGAAAAGAAACAAAAAGUUGGUUUUAAAUAAUAUUUUAGAUUUGGAUUUAAAAAUCACCCUCAAAAUCUUAUUUUCCUUUUCACUUUAUGGUUUCUUUAUAGUUUGGGGGCAGUUUUUCGUGUCCUUACAAUGUUUUUGAUCACCUUAUCUUGCCUAAACUUUAAAUAAACACCAGAUUAAUUCAUAUGAAUUUACAAAAUGAGCAAUGAGCCUGCAGUGUCGGUGCCCACUUUUAGAAAGUAGAUGAAGGGAUUUGUUCUGUCUUCAAGGUUAGAGAUCAGAACAUUUCAUGGUAUAUAAACAUAAGCCAUAGAACGCCAAACCCUCCCCACAGUAUCAAAGGCAGAAAUCACUUUGAUCCUAUCUUAUCCAAACAAUUCUGUUUUUUAAUUAAGUACUGUGAUCCCAGCAAGGGAAGCCAGUUUCCUUCUUGAAAGUCACAGUCAGUUCUUAUAAGCAUGUUAGAACUUCAAAAUGGCUUUCCUGGAUCUCUCCCGACUCACAAAUG